rnacentral:tRNA from 1 species
AUUUAUUUAAUAUAAUAAGUAUACUUGACUUCCAAUCAAAAAGUUUGUAAUAACAAAAUAAAUA